rnacentral:rRNA from 1 species
CAUAUCAAUAAGCGGAGGAAAAGAAACCAACCGGGAUUGCCUUAGUAACGGCGAGUGAAAGCGGCAAAAGCUCAAAUUUGAAAUCUGGUACCUUCGGUGCCCGAGUUGUAAUUUGGAGAGGGCAACUUUGGGGCCGUUCCUUGUCUAUGUUCCUUGGAACAGGACGUCAUAGAGGGUGAGAAUCCCGUGUGGCGAGGAGUGCGGUUCUUUGUAAAGUGCCUUCGAAGAGUCGAGUUGUUUGGGAAUGCAGCUCUAAGUGGGUGGUAAAUUCCAUCUAAAGCUAAAUAUUGGCGAGAGACCGAUAGCGAACAAGUACAGUGAUGGAAAGAUGAAAAGAACUUUGAAAAGAGAGUGAAAAAGUACGUGAAAUUGUUGAAAGGGAAGGGCAUUUGAUCAGACAUGGUGUUUUGUGCCCUCUGCUCCUUGUGGGUAGGGGAAUCUCGCAUUUCACUGGGCCAGCAUCAGUUUUGGUGGCAGGAUAAAUCCAUAGGAAUGUAGCUUGCCUCGGUAAGUAUUAUAGCCUGUGGGAAUACUGCCAGCUGGGACUGAGGACUGCGACGUAAGUCAAGGAUGCUGGCAUAAUGGUUAUAUGCCGCCCGUCUU